rnacentral:lncRNA from 1 species
GAAAAAAGCCACAAAAAUGGGUGGGCCAUAGCCUUGGGGGGCGGGGCUGGCCAACUUCGUCCGCCGGGCUCGGAAAGGCGCGAGACCUUACGAGGCUCCUCCGUGUGCCAAAAAUAGGCCGCGGGCACAGCCGCGCCCAAAAAUAACCGACCAAAGGCCGGGGCGCCAAGUAUGUCCAGUGGAAAAAGGCCACAAAAACGGGUGGGCUAUAGCCUUGGGGGGUGGGGCUAGCCAACUUCGUCCGCCGGACUCGGAAUGGCGUGAGACUUUGCGAGGCGCCUCCG